rnacentral:rRNA from 1 species
UACGUAGGGUGCAAGCGCUAAUCGGAAUUACUGGGCGUAAAGCGUGCGCAGGCGGUUUGGUAAGACAGAUGUGAAAUCCCCAGGCUUAACCUGGGAAUUGCAUUUGUGACUGCCCGGCUAGAGUUUGGCAGAGGGGGGUAGAAUUCCACGUGUAGCAGUGAAAUGCGUAGAUAUGUGGAGGAAUACCGAUGGCGAAGGCAGCCCCCUGGGUCAAGACUGACGCUCAUGCACGAAAGCGUGGGGAGCAAACAGG